GGAUAAAUAAGUCAGUGGUGAAAGUCUGCAGCUCAACUGUAGAAUUGCCAUUGAUACUGUUUAUCUUGAGUUAUUAUGAAGUGGUUAGAAUGAGUAGUGUAGCGGUGAAAUGCAUAGAUAUUACUCAGAAUACCGAUUGCGAAGGCAGAUCACUAAUAAUCGACUGACGCUGAUGGACGAAAGCGUAGGUAGCGAACAGGAUUAGAUACCCUGGUAGUCUACGCCGUAAACGAUGGUUACUAGCUGUUCGGCCUAAUUGAGGGCUGAGUGGUUAAGCGAAAGUGAUAAGUAACCCACCUGGGGAGUACGUUCGCAAGAAUGAAACUCAAAGGAAUUGACGGGGGCCCGCACAAGCGGUGGAGCAUGUGGUUUAAUUCGAUGAUACGCGAGGAACCUUACCAGGGCUUAAAUGUAGUCUGACAGGGCUGGAAACAGCUUUUUCUUCGGACAGAUUACAAGGUGCUGCAUGGUUGUCGUCAGCUCGUGCCGUGAGGUGUCAGGUUAAGUCCUAUAACGAGCGCAACCCCUGUGGUUAGUUGCCAGCGAGUCAAGUCGGGAACUCUAGCCAGACUGCCGGUGCAAACCGCGAGGAAGGUGGGGAUGACGUCAAAUCAUCACGGCCCUUACGUCCUGGGCCACACACGUGCUACAAUGGUAGGGACAGAGAGCAGCCACUUCGCGAGAAGGAGCGAAUCUAUAAACCCUAUCACAGUUCGGAUCGCAGUCUGCAACUCGACUGCGUGAAGCUGGAAUCGCUAGUAAUCGGAUAUCAGCCAUGAUCCGGUG
rnacentral:rRNA from 1 species